rfam:Musa acuminata subsp. malaccensis Doubled-haploid Pahang (DH-Pahang) genomic chromosome, chr6
UGGCUGUGAUGACUAUUUCGUUUCUCGAAUCUGAUAUCGAUGUCAUUCGAGGACCGCCUUGAUGACUUCAUUUGUGCGUGUCUGAGCCAU